AUUCAAGUUUCUGCAUCCUUCUAUGUUUGAUAAGGUCAUUUUGAACGGUCGGAUUGAACGUGGCUGGUGUCGUUCACGAUCUAGGCACGUUUAGGUCCCCGCAGUGAACUAGUUCCUAAGUUGACUAGUCAAUUAGGUGAUAGUUCGUCCGGAUGACGUACCUCCGUGAACCCGAUAUGAGAAAUUCAAGUUUCUGCAUCCUUCUAUGUUUGAUAAGGUCAUUUUGAACGGUCGGAUUGAACGUGGCUGGUGUCGUUCACGAUCUAGGCACGUUUAGGUCCCCGCAGUGAACUAGUUCCUAAGUUGACUAGUCAAUUAGGUGAUAGUUCGUCCGGAUGACGUACCUCCGUGAACCCGAUAUGAGAAAUUCAAGUUUCUGCAUCCUUCUAUGUUUGAUAAGGUCAUUUUGAACGGUCGGAUUGAACGUGGCUGGUGUCGUUCACGAUCUAGGCACGUUUAGGUCCCCGCAGUGAACUAGUUCCUAAGUUGACUAGUCAAUUAGGUGAUAGUUCGUCCGGAUGACGUACCUCCGUGAACCGAUCUGAGAAAUUCAAGUUUCUGCAUCCUUCUAUGUUUGAUAAGGUCAUUUUGAACGGUCGGAUUGAACGUGGCUGGU
rnacentral:lncRNA from 1 species